ensembl:lncRNA
GCUGACGUCACGAGCACGAGUGCACGCGGUGCCCCGCCUCUAGGAGACGUCGAUGGACUCCCCAGGCCCCAAGGGACGAGGGCUCAGCAGGCCCGGUCGGGGCCUGGAGACCAGCGGCUGGGAGCAGGCCACCGCGGGCGUGCCAGGAGGUCCUGAGGGGCAGGCUUGAUAUGGCCUUUGUUUGCAGUGAGCUGCAGCUGCUUGCUCCUUGCCGAAGCUCCAGGAAGCGGGAAUGCUGGCCCUGAGGUGAGGUGAGGAGCAGAGGGCCCCUUCGUGGGAUUCAGGCCUCGGCUGCAGGGGGCCUGCUUUCUUCCCCAGACCGUGGUUCCAUCCCCAUAACGCACAUCCCCAUACCGCAGCCCAUCUUCCUUUUAGGAAGUCCUUUUAGCAUGUCCACCACUGCUCUUUGUGGCAAAUGCCCCCAGGACGUCGCCUCCUCUUCGGAGCCCAUAGCAUCUGCUCAGUCAGCCUCUCUUCCUCCUCCCUCCGGGCAGCACCCUGCAGAACUCACUGUCCCAGAUGGGCUGUCUGAGCCCUCGCCUUUGCAGUUUCUUAUCCUUCACCCUUCCAGUGACCGGUGUCCAUCUAGCCCACCCCCCCAGCUGUCCCCUGGGAACUUGCUGCCACGAGGCCUCUCGGUGCUCACCACUCUGGCUCUGCCGUCCCCCUCUCUGGCACAGAUGUUCUCCUGCCUGGCUCAUCCUCUCUGCUCCGUGUUACUUCUCUGCAUCCCCUCCCCUCUGCUGCGCCUGUUACCCAUUUUCCUCACUUGCCGAGAGGUGCAGAGUGCACCAUGGAGAAUGCUGCCUCUGCCUCCCAUGUGCUUCUUUGAGGCCCAGGGAAGGUUCCCGUUGGCUCCUGCCACGUGUUUUGCAGCACCACAGGUCUGGGACCGGCUUGACCCAAACUCCCAGUUUCCCCCAUAUACUUCUCGGCAGGUCCGGUUUCCUCCUCUCUGAAACGCCUUUUGCCCGUCUUUCUGUUGAGCUGCUGGUCUCUUUGGUGCGGAGUUGUGGGAGCUGGUUCUGAAGCCUGGGUGCUCAUCUCCCCUUGGUUGUUUGCGUUUCAGAUUCCUCCUCUGGCCCUCGGGGGCUGCUCUCCUCCUCCCUUUGCAUGCCUGCUUUGCACUCGGCAUUCACCUAGACUCUGGAAGUGUAAGUGAUCCCAAAGGUCAGGGAAUGUCCACCACCCCUCCAGCUGGAGGCUGCCCUCCACCCGCAGGCCCGCCACCUGGGAGGAGUGGUCCCCGAGGAGGAGGUGCCCUUGCGUCCAGCACUCUGCCCCUGAGAAUGGGCUCCUUCUCAUCCCUGUGAUUCCCUCUGUCACCGCUUGGCUGUAGUUCCGUGUCCUGACCUUGCUGAAGAGGAGGCCCGGCAGCCGUGCAGCAGCAAGAGGACAGCGAGCCUUGUUUCUUCGGCCCCAGUCUCCCUUUUCCUCCCAAUCCUCAUGUGGCCUGCUUCCAACAGGCAGACUCCACUGCUCCUCUUGCUCCCUGUCCCCUGGGCAGCUCCAGUUGGCUGCAUCCCUCUCAGUACGGCCUGGAUCACGUGGUCCAAUCUGAGGACUGUACUUAUUUCUGCUUUGUCUUAGUGACUCUCCAAGUCCACAGGAGGAAGCUGCAUCACAAGGCACCUGCAGUCACCCACGAGCUACUUUGCCGCCACUGCUUAGGUGUGGUGCCUGCACACAGAGGGUGGCCCAGCCGAGUUGGAACCUUGGGAGUUUCCGUGAACUUCUGGCAACCUCCUCACUUGCAUUCAUAUCACAAGCCAGAAAAGCACCUUCAAUCGGGGGCGGGGCGAGGCUCAAUUCCAUGUUUCCAUCUUCUGAGUUUCAAUAACAUCUUCUUUACUGUCCUCAGUCUCUGAGCAAACAAGCAACGACCCCCGCGCCAGGCCCUCCACAGCUUGAGGGAGGGCAUCCAAACGUCACACUGUGGCUGAGUGACAGUGUGUGGUCCAGCUUAUUUGUUUACGAGAUUCAGGUGUGGGGGAUCUGGAGCACGUGCUGCCAUCCCAUAGCUAUGGUGAUGGGGGCUUGAAUGGGUGGACUAAUGCACUCUGUUGCAGAAGACCCACUCGGCCAACUCCUGAGUAUCUGCAUGCUCGCUGUGGCGACUUUGGAAAGUACAGAAAGUAUACGAAGAAUCAGGACAAAGGUUGCUCAGGAGGCACUGCCCGGAGGCGUGAAUGCUCACAGUUUGGGUCUAUUUCCCCACUUCUGUUUUUGCUGAGGAAGAUUAGCAUUGAGCUAGCAACUGUGCCAAUCUCCCUCCAAUUUAUAUGUGGGUCGCUGCCAUAGCGUGGCUGGUGAGUGCCCCAGAAUCCAAACCUGUGCCCCCGGGCUGCCGAAGCCUAGGGCGCUGAACUUAAGCACUAUGCCAUGGGGCUGACCCUCCCCCCAUUCUUUUUCCGUGUAGUUCCUCUUUACUCAGUUGAGCUCCUGCUGUGUGACCGUUCUGUCUUAUGUUUUUUCGUUUAACAUUAAGUGUUAUCCCAUGUUCUGAAAGAGUCCUCAGAAGACAUGUCACUCAGGUCUGCACCUUGUUGUGGAGUGUAUUGGAUUCCAGGCUCUCCCUGCUCAAGCCCAACUGACAAAUGUUCGAGAAUGGCCCAGCACACCUUGGACCCAGUGACGUCCUCUGGUCAGAAACUCCAGCACGGGGGUCCUCCUGAAGUGGACGCGGAGAGCGAGUUUAUUGAGACUCCAGUGUCAAUGUCGGGUUGGACGCUGUGUCCAACAGCCUCCCACGGUCUGGUAAUCCCAUUUCCCAGCGUUCAGUCCCCCAGUGCAUAGCCAGAGGUCCCUUUGGGAGGGGUUGGGGGGUCAUUCCCGUGCCUACUUGCCAUGGCACUACAGCGUCCUUCCCCCUAGGGUCCUGGCCACCUCCCUAGUCCACGGUUCCAGGUCAGAAAACUGGCUCAGGGGCAGAACCUGGGCAAGGGAUCAUGACUUUGUUGGGGUGGCUGCCCUCAGCCACCUGCCGUGUGUUCUUGCUCUUUAGAGGGUCCAUUUUAGGCUGCACCUUGGUGGGUUGCCCAUCCAUUGUGCCCCCAGCGAGGCCAUGUGGUAUUGACCCCCUCCGCUGCUGGAGGGGUCAGGCGUCCUUGCCAGUGGUGUCCAUCAGUGUCAGCCCUCACGUGCUGGCCAUUCAGUGCCACCCUGGGACCUCUACUGCUGUUCAUGGGUCAGGCGGUUGUGCAGUUCCUUUCCUCCCUUAGCAGGCUUGGCACAUCCUGCCUGUGUUGUGUGGUAACUUCACUCUGGUUGGGGCCCUGGCAGGAAGCCGACCACCUCUUCCUGGUUUUCCUGGGACUCUCCUGGUUUUAGAACUGCAAGUCCUACAGUAAACCAGGAUGGCUGGUCACUCUACCUUCUGGGAUGGAAGGCACCCAUGGAGAAAGAUGUGCAGGCUUUUUGCUCCCUCAGCGAUGGGAUGGGUGCAUUAGCUCUUUAUGGGAAGGAAUGGGCCACUGCUCCAGGCUCAGAGGUUUCAGAGGCAUCUGGGGAGUCUAGCUCUUCCAGGGCCCUCGCCCAGAUGUGCCUGUCUCUUGUGUCAGGGGUGCGGGUUUUCCCGAUGGGGCUUCUGAUGUUGGCCUGACGGACCUGCCUUGGUGAACGUUCAGCUGUCUUUGAAGUUCAGCCACUCCUAUCAAAUCCUGGGUUUGCCCUUCGUCCACUGCCUGAGAUGGGGCGACUUUGCAACCUACUGAGGAGACUCUGGGGCUCCCCCUUAGUUUUCACUCUGUUAAUCACCCCGGGAUUCUCAUUACCCUGCCAGUCAUCAAAGCAAGAGGGUCACCUCCAUCCAUUCCCCUUGUCCUUCGAGUUGUCCUUCCUGUACGUGCCACACGCCUGGGUCCCCUCACCUGCCGGGAAAUUCCUCUCCACCUGCCAGCCCAGCGAAAAGUUCUGACAGGAACGUGCUAGCCACUGGGCUGUCUGCACACCACCAACCCCCGGGAUGAGGUCCUCGUUACCACUGGGGCAGGUGAUGAGCAAUCCCGCACCAAGACCCUGUCUUAGCACCUGCUUUUUGGACCACUCGAGAAGCAACUGUCUCAGGUGGAAUCUUUCAGGAAGCUGCCCCCUGAGAGGGAGUGAGGCGUGCCAAAGGCUGACUGGGGAAUAACACCCACGAAGGGAGCAGGGAGAAGCAGGGCUGGACAGGUUGUCCCUUCAGCCUGUGACACCGAGCUGACAGUUUCUCCCAGCCCAUCUGGGAGCUGCAGAGCAGGGAUCGGCCCUCAAGGACCUGCACUCGGCGGGGUAGUUAGGCCCUCACUGUGCCUGAGGCCUUGCAAUCCAGGUGG